UGAAAUAUAAGGAAACAAUUUAUUUCCAACAAAAAAAAAAAUCCACCCGAAUUUGGAUCACAAACCUAACAAAAUCAUCAAAUUAGAGCACAUCGAACUUAAACAUGAAAGCAAGCGGCAAAUUAACAAUUACUUACCACAAGUCCGAGUAAUGUGGAUAAAAAGGAAAUGUCGUUGGAUUGAAAUUCCUAAUUAUCUCAAACAAAGAAAAACUAUCUUUUCCAGAAGGUAUCAUGGCAAUCGGCGAUACCAACGUCGAACAAGCUAUGAAAAAAACAAGGAUAAAAAGAAUAAUACCCUUUUUUGGUAUUCGCAAAUCCCCCAGUAGCCUAGGAGGAUAAAGCGAACAAAUUAUCUUAGAAGAAAGCUCUCCUGGCUGGUGUGCAGUCUCCCAUAGCAAAAAAGAACCAGAAAGUUGGGCCAUCCGACUGAAGCAAGUUGAGAAGAGGCCAUGUCCAACGAAGAAAGGGUAUCCUGAUAAAAGGGGUAAAAGGGAACUCAAAGUUCCAUAACUAAUGAAUAUUUCUAAAUCUCAAACUUGGGGAGGACGAUCCGCCAUUUGAAAUGGCUUAGGAUGUAAAAGCUCUAUGUUACUAAGAAUGUUGAAAUGAGUUCUAACAAUGGCCAGGUCCUAUUCAUUAAGUUUACUAUAGAUCCCCGAAGCCUAAAAAAUGUCCCUCGUGUCUUCGCUAAGAUUGGCUAGCGCUCAAGAGGAUUCACUUGUUACAUUGGAAAUAUUAGCCCAGGUCGUAAAAUUAUAAGAUUAAUGUAUGUAACAAAGUGAGUCACUAUUCUAUAAAUGAGCACAUCAAAAUAUAUAAUUUCUAUCGAAGAAGAAUUACAGGAAGAAUCACUCCUGAAAGUCAGAUUAUUU
rnacentral:lncRNA from 1 species